AGCGAACGUUUGCGGCGGGCCUAACACAUGCAAGUCGAACGGGCAGGGGCAACCCUGUCAGUGGCGCACGGGUGCGUAACACGUGGGUAAUCAACCCUUUGGACUGGGACAACCCGGGGAAACUCGGGCUAAUACCGGAUGUGGCGUGGCGGUCCUCGGACUGCUCCGCGAAAGCUCCGCAAGGGGCACCAGAGGACGAGCCCGCGUCCCAUCAGCUAGUUGGUGAGGUAAUGGCUCACCAAGGCGAAGACGGGUAGCUGGUCUGAGAGGAUGAUCAGCCACACUGGAACUGAGACACGGUCCAGACUCCUACGGGAGGCAGCAGUGGGGAAUAUUGCGCAAUGGGCGAAAGCCUGACGCAGCCACGCCGCGUGUGCGAUGAAGGUCUUCGGAUCGUAAAGCACUGUGGGGGGAGAAGAAACAAGCCGGUGAAGAGCCGGCCCUGACGGUAUCCCCUUAGCAAGCACCGGCUAACUCCGUGCCAGCAGCCGCGGUAAAGUGU
rnacentral:rRNA from 1 species